UUUGACAUUAAUAAUAAAAGUGUACUAAUCGCUACAGAUGCAACGCCUAGUGAUGACUUUCUA
rnacentral:sRNA from 1 species